rnacentral:misc_RNA from 1 species
GUGGGAGCGAGCCUGCUCGCGAUGACGCUGUGUCAGUCGACAUCAAUGCUGAUUGACCCACCGCUAUCGCGAGCAGGCUCGCUCCCAC